ensembl:lncRNA
CUCAAAUGUCUGUGCAGUCUGUCACCCUGUUAGAUGUGCAGCAGAGAGUGUUGCUUACAGUUGACGAGGGCCAGAUUGUUGGUCACAGUGAAGUGACAGGGAAGGAUGUUAUGAGAUGUACGCUGUCAUCGUGUGACGAGCAUGUGUUGAGUGAUGUCUAGGCAGAGCAGAGCAGUCAAUGUCUCGUUCUGUUUGGCAUACCGUGUAUCGUCUCAUUUACGCUGAUUGUUGUGCACUGUAAAGGGAUACUAGGGGAGCUUCAGUUUCACAACUUUCAAGAUGAACGUUUACUGGAUACCCACAAUCCUCCUCUCCCUCUGCCUCUCCAGUGCUGCCAACAUGAUAAGCUCCCACAACUGUAAAGUAUCAACAAAUGUCACAUCAGGCAGGAUCCAUAGCACUACCAGAACAUUCUGAUAACUGGAACAAAAGCCAAAGGUGGACCAAUCAAAGGGUUGCAGAUCAUUCAAGAUUGUAAUGCGUGCAAAGCUGCAUGGUUUUUCAGUUCAGACAGAGUGUUCCCAGAGCGACUACAUGAGCACCAAACCCAGAGCUCCACUCAGGGGGCCCAGGAAGAAGCAGGGGGUCCAGCAUCCAAUCCGAAUGGGACGAUACUGACCACAGUCAUCCUCAGAUCACAAUCCUUCUCAUACAAACGCUAAACGAGAAUUGAGCCUUAAUUUGCCUUUGAGAGCUGACUGCUGAAACACACCAAGUUCUUUAUGUUAGC